rnacentral:rRNA from 1 species
UACGUAGGGUGCAAGCGUUAAUCGGAAUUACUGGGCGUAAAGCGUGCGCAGGCGGUUAUGUAAGACAGAUGUGAAAUGCCCGGGCUUAACCUGGGAACUGCAUAUGUGACUGCAUAGCUAGAGUGUGUCAGAGGGGGGUAGAAUUCCACGUGUAGCAGUGAAAUGCGUAGAUAUGUGGAGGAAUACCGAUGGCGAAGGCAGCCCCCUGGGAUAACACUGACGCUCAUGCACGAAAGCGUGGGGAGCAAACAGG